AUCUUUGAGAAAAGAAUUGCUGGUUCAGAUAGAUGGAAGUUCUGUCUUGCAACAUCAGUUGAUGUGCCUGCUAGGUGAAAAAGAGUGGGUAAAUGAUGAUGUAAGUACCCUUACUCAAACAGGAAAAAGUUUCUAAUCAGUAAUAUCAGUUAGUAAUGUAUUUUUAAAUUCUUAAUUAUAGGUGAUCAAUGCAUAUGUAUGUUGUAUAAAGGACCAAAUACAUCUCCAGAAUGAUAAUAAAGUAUAUUUUGAGAGUCCAUUUGUUACCUCACUAUUUAAACGAGAUGGCACCCUUGGAAUACAAGAAGAUAGUGCCUUCAUGACAGAGACUGUCCUCGAAUAUAUGCAGCAUGACAUGAUUAAACUUCCAAUAAAUGCCAGCAACACACAUUGGUAUCUAGCUGUUGUGAAUACAAAAAAAUGUGAAGUUCAAGUACUAGACUCAUUAUGCUGGAAUUCUGACAGAGAUGAUCUCGCUAAUACGCUACGAGGAAUACAAUUUCAUUUGGACCUUCUUAAAAGUCAAAAUUUGGUAAGCGACGAUUGGAAAGACAUUGAUCUUACUGAAUGGAAGAUCAUAGAACAAUUACAAAAGGCAAUUCAAAAAGAUAGUUCUUCAUGUGGUUUAUUUAUGGUUAAAUUUAUGGAAUAUUUCACCGGAUGUGCACUAUCCUACCCAAUUACACAGGUAUAUAUCCUUUUUUGUUUUUUAAUAAUAAAGGGUAUUUGGUUUUCUUUUUAAUUUACUAAUAAUUGUUCGUGUUGCACAUGAAAUGAUUACUUCUUUCAGGUUUAAGUUAGCUAGCAUACUAUUAUGUUGGAAAACAAACACUGCAGCAAUGACUACAAUCGUUGAAAAAGUGACGAUGACACCAAGGGAGAUCCUGAUGAUGUUCAAAUAUUGGAAAGUUUAGAUGAUUUUAAAAAAACAAAACAAAAAUUACCAUUAUAUGUUGAAAAUAAAUACAGAUCACUAAUAUCAGUUCUUUCUAAUAUGACCUUACAUGAGUUAACAGCUGGACUCUGUAGCUUCAUUAAAUCAAUCAAUUACAUCGAGAUUUUAGAGUAAGUCAUUUUAAAUUAGUAUUGCAAUUGUAAAGUAUGUUACUUGUUUUCUUAAUGGUUUAUUUUCUUACUUUGUAUCAUGAUCAGGAAAGUAUGGAUCCAUAGUUCAAAACCAUAUCCAAUUAGCUUGUCUCUAAAAAAACUACAAGGAAUGCUAAAGGAUGAUUUACCCAUGGACCGAGAUUGCUUUAAUUUGAUCCUACGGAAGAUUAUGUUGGAUGACAUCGAAACGACACAAAAAAAAGCAAUUGAUAGCAAAGCAUUAUCUGGACAUGAAAUUUUGGGUAUGUUUUUAUAUUCAUUAUAUACUUUUUAUAUAAUGAUUUUUUAUCAUUUUUUAACCAAUUAUUUUAUAUAUUAGAUGACUACUGAUUAUGGAAGGCACCCAGAUUACCGUAAAAAGUUAGAUGUGGAGCAACUAGCAAAUUCUGUUCGUAGUUGGUCUGGUAUCAAUGUUUCAACAUUUAAAUCGGUAAGAGCACUUUUAUAUACUUUAUAGGAAAAAAAAUAUUGCAUCUAAUAUGUAGCCUAUUUCAGAUCCAUAUUCCAGUACAAACCAUGGAUGAAUUCAUUCUAUUCACAUUGGACCAAGAUACCAGAACAGUGUACAUUUUGGACCCUACUCCUAUUAAUCCAAUGUACCGAUACAACCCACUCGCAAAAUAUAUGAAAAAAAUUAUAUGGAUUUCCGAACACUUACAAAAAGCAAUGUCAAAAGCAUGCCCUGGGUCUAGAUGGAACGAGGAUAUUCGCCUAUGGCAACAUAAAAUCCUAGAUGAUAUUCCAGUUUACAACAGGUAUUUUUCAUAAGAUGAAUACUAGAUACUGAUUAUUUGUUGAUUUGAGUAUGUAGAAAAUAUUAAUAAAGUGUAUUUAUAUUCCUAUAUAAGGGAAUUGUCUGGUUAUCUUGUUCCCCUAUUCAUGUCCACAUGGGAAGACGAAAGACCACAUUUGCCAUUUUUAAAGGAUGGAUAUGAACUCAGAAAACUAAUUUUGGGCCAAGUGCUAACAUUCAAGGAUAAUGAAUGUGAAGAUAACAUGCCUGCUGGUGUACUGGAAUUCAUCAAUUGUAUUAGGAAAAUCCAAAGUAAAACUGGGAGCUCAAUCAGUGGAAGGUGAUUUGCCAGAGAGAUUUCUUGCAGCCAACGGUUAAUAGGGAAUGAGCAGGGAGACAAUGAGCAUGUAGAGCUGGAUUUUUUUACCUUUGAGAAAUUAAUACUGGAUUUUGGUUUGUACUUAAAAUAUCACUUAUAUAUAUGUAGUAAACUUUUGGAGCUUGCCAUGAUAUACAUUUUUUAGGACUGCCAAUUAUAAGAGAUGAUGGAUUGCUUUCAAA